rnacentral:rRNA from 1 species
UACGGGGGGGGCAAGCGUUGUUCGGAAUUACUGGGCGUAAAGGGCUCGUAGGUGGCCAACUAAGUCAGACGUGAAAUCCCCAGGCUUAACCUGGGAACUGCAUCCGAUACUGGAUGGCUUGAAUUCGGGAGAGGGAUGCAGAAUUCCAGGUGUAGCGGUGAAAUGCGUAGAUAUCUGGAGGAAUACCGGUGGCGAAGGCGGCAUCCUGGACCGACAUUGACGCUGAGGAGCGAAAGCUAGGGGAGCAAACGGGG